GAUGAACGCUGGCGGCGUGCCUAAUACAUGCAAGUCGAGCGAACAGACGCGGAGCUUGCUCCUCUGACGUGAGCGGCGGACGGGUGAGUAACACGUGGAUCACCUACCUAUCAGACUGGGAUAAUCUCGGGAAACCGGAGCUAAUCCCGGAUAAUAUAUUGAACCGCAUGGUUCAAUAGUGAAAGACGGUUUUGCUGUCACUUAUAGAUGGAUCUGCGCCGCAUUAGCUAGUUGGUAAGGUAACGGCUUAGCAAGGCAACGAUGCGUAGCCGACGUGAUAGGGUGAUCGGCCACACUGGAACUGGGUCAGGGUCCAGGCUCCUACGGGAGGCAGCAGUAUGGAAUCUGCCGCAAUGGGCGGAAACCUGACAGAGCAGCGCCGCGUGAGAGAUGGAGGUCUUGGGAGCGGAAAGCCCUGUUUUUAGGGAAAAACAAAUGUGUAAGGAAAUAAGGACGUCUUGACGGUACCUGGUAAAAAAGCAACGGCUAACUACGUG
rnacentral:rRNA from 1 species